rnacentral:lncRNA from 1 species
AAAGAGGAAAGUGCUGAGCUCUGAGAUCUCACCCUCUCCAAAUUUCCCCAAGUGCCCUCCCUCCACGAGGGAGGGGGCAGGCCUGUGUUCCCCAGCUCCCCUCUCCCUCUGGAGCCCCUCAAGCCCCCGGUCUGGACUCGGUGAUGUGGGACACGGGAGAAGAGGCGGCCCUGGUGUUGGUGCACCUGGUGGGCAGGUGUGAGACGCCUGCCACAGCAUGUCUUGAGCAGCAAUGCUUAGGUCCACACCUGGGAUCCGAACCAGCAAACCUCCAGCUGCCAAAGCAGAUUGUGCGAACUUAACUACCGCGCCACUGGGCCAGCCUCC